AUCCAAGUCUCUCUUCUUCCCCAUUCAGCAGAGGCAGCGUGAAACACAUUUAGGGGAAGAGAGAAACGAAGAACGUUUCCAACCCUCACGGUAAAUUUAAUUUGCCGUAACUCCUCCGUCCGAGCUCCGAUCGCCGCACUGUUUGUGGCCACGCGUCCACCGCGUCGAGCUCUACAUUUCUACCGAAACAAUUUCAUAGGAUCCAAUUAGCUUGAGGAAAACGUUCACUCUUGCUUAUGUGAAGCUUGGAUAAGGUUGUAAAUAAAUAAUUGGAGCUUGAAAUUGUGAAUACUGGAGCUUGGAGGAAGCGGAUUAGUUGAGGUUUUGAGGGCUGUGUUCUUUUAGGAAAAUUGUCUUAGAAUAAUUCUUGGGAAUCGGCUAAGGUAUGGUUUAG